UGGUGCAAUCAUACAAACACUAAGGCACCUAAUGCCAUCUGAACUGCGCAGUUAUGCGUGCUUGGGCAAGAGUAGUACGAGGAUGGGUGACCUCCUAGGAAGUUAUGUUCAAUUGGCUCGU
rfam:Lupinus angustifolius cultivar Tanjil contig_1836, whole genome shotgun sequence.